rnacentral:sRNA from 1 species
UGCCUCCUUUCUAGCAGCAGCAGCUCCAGCCGCUGUCCCACCACGCACCCCCUGUGCCCCUCACCCCCCGCCCAGCCGGGCUGGUGGGCGGCAGUGCUACGGGGCUGCUUGCUCUGUCUGGAGCCCUGGCUGCCCAGGCUCAGCUGGCCGCGGCUGUCAAGGAGGACCGUGCGGGCGUGGAGGCCGAGGGGUCCAGAGAGUGCAUCUCCCUCGCCCCCUGAGAGUCUCGUGGAGGAGGAGCGACCGAGUGGCCCUGGUGGUGGCGGGAAGCAGAGAGCAGAUGAGAAGGAGCCGUCAGGACCUUAUGAAAGCGACGAAGACAAGAGUGACUACAAUCUGGUGGUGGACGAGGACCAACCCUCAGAGCCCCCCAGCCCGGCUACCACCCCCUGCGGAAAGGUACCCAUCUGCAUUCCUGCCCGUCGGGACCUGGUGGACAGUCCAGCCUCCUUGGCCUCUAGCCUUGGCUCACCGCUCCCUAGAGCCAAGGAGCUCAUCCUGAAUGACCUUCCCGCCAGCACUCCUGCCUCCAAAUCCUGUGACUCCUCCCCACCCCAGGACGCGUCCACCCCCGGGCCCAGCUCGGCCAGUCACCUCUGCCAGCUCGCUGCCAAGCCAGCGCCUUCCACGGACAGCAUCGCCCUGAGGAGCCCCCUGACUCUGUCCAGUCCCUUCACCACGUCCUUCAGCCUGGGCUCCCACAGCACUCUCAACGGAGACCUCUCCGUGCCCAGCUCCUACGUCAGCCUCCACCUGUCCCCCCAGGUCAGC